rnacentral:rRNA from 1 species
CCCUAUGGGGUGCAGCAGGCGCGAAAACUUUACAAUGCUGGCAACAGCGAUAAGGGAACCUCGAGUGCCAGGUUACAAAUCUGGCUGUCGAGAUGCCUAAAAAGCAUUUCAUAGCAAGGGCCGGGCAAGACCGGUGCCAGCCGCCGCGGUAACACCGGCGGCUCGAGUGGUAACCGUUAUUAUUGGGUCUAAAGGGUCUGUAGCCGGCCGGAUAAGUCUCUUGAGAAAUCUGGCAGCUUAACUGUCAGGCUUUCAGGAGAUACUGUCUGGCUCGAGGCCGGGAGAGGUGAGAGGUACUUCAGGGGUAGGGGUGAAAUCUUGUAAUCCUUGAAGGACCACCAGUGGCGAAGGCGUCUCACCAGAACGGACCUGACGGCAAGGGACGAAAGCUAGGGGCACGAACCGGAUUAGAUACCCGGGUAGUCCUAGCCGUAAACGAUACUCGCUAGGUGUCGGCCACGGUGCGACCGUUGUCGGUGCCGUAGGGAAGCCGUGAAGCGAGCCACCUGGGAAGUACGGCCGCAAGGCUGAAACUUAAAGGAAUUGGCGGGGGAGCACCACAACGGGUGGAGCUUGCGGUUUAAUUGGAUUCAACGCCGGAAAUCUUACCGGGACCGACAGCAAUAUGAAGGCCAGGCUGAAGACUUUGCCGGAUUAGCU